GCCACGAUAGCUCAGUGGUAGAGCAAUAGUUUUGUAAACUAUCGGUCGUCGGUUCAAUCCCGACUCGUGGCUCCA
rnacentral:tRNA from 1 species